GAUCCGGAAUUUUGCAGCACCAGCAAUUGAAACUUACACGAUUGCAGCUGCUUCAAACAGGUACUGGCUUAAACCGGGGAAGCUAAUGAGCCGCCGUCUCUCAACCCGACCUACCUGGCAGGGUUGUUAUGUGGAAAAUAGAGAGUGCUAGGCUAGGCUUUCCACCCUGAACCUCUGAGGAAAGAUGGGAUGUACAGCGAUCAAAUAAGGAAUUGGGUGGGCUUCUCAGUUCAAGAUGGUUGAAUUUUGGCUCUUCUUUCAGUACCAGAAUGCCUGGCCUGGCGAGAGCCCUCCGGUUGGGGAGCAGAGGUUGCCACCCAAGGAUUAUAUGGUGGAAUCCGUACUGGUGACCAUUUUUCUGCUGCUUGUUCACGGGACUGGUAGCCCUCGUCUAUUCCCACGAGACCCGGGCCGCUCUGAAUCGAGGUGACCUCAUCCAAGCCACGAUGGCUUCCCACAAAGCUCGCUCGCUCGUCUUGUUCAGUCUCUUCUUCGGCCUCUUUGUGUCCAUCAGCUGGAUCAUCUACGUGGUGGUAACCUUGUAUCUAUGAUCCAGUGGGUUGGGAUGGACCUUAGGGUUUCCUACAAAGUGGUGAUACGGAGCCUUCAUCCUUUUCAACCAGCUUGGGAACCAAUUUCUCUUGUUGGCACUUUCUUCUUGUCUCUUCUCCAAAACCAACCACAUCAACAUCUUUCAAGAAGGAACGAUUGUUGUCCUAAAGUGAUGAGAUCCCUCACCACCAAGCUGGAAAGAGGACUUCAAAGUGCAAAGCACUGAUCUACCUUCUUUCAAACCUUACUGAAGCCAACUUAAUUGUUAUUUCAUUAGUCUUAAUUCAAAAAAAUGCACCAACAGUCUGAUCCAAGAAGGAUUUUAAAGGAGAUACCAGACUCUUCUUGGAAAAGCUUCAGGUUAUCCUUGGGUCAGGUCAGGAGGGCGAUCCUUGGUCCAUGGGUUCUCCAGGCUUCGAGAUCGAAUCAGGGGCACUGCCCUGCGAAGACAUCAGGAAUUCCAAACUGACUUUUAUUGAGGAUGCUGAAUUAGGAACAAUAAAUGCUGGAAGGAUUUUUGCCCA